rnacentral:tRNA from 1 species
GCCCAGAUGAACCUCGGUGGUCCGGGGUGCGGGCUUCAAACCCGUAGCUGAUUGACGUCAGAGUGGUUCGAUUCCACCUUCUGGGCG